rnacentral:rRNA from 1 species
AUUGAACGCUGGCGGCAUGCCUUACACAUGCAAGUCGAACGGCAGCACGGGAGCAAUCCUGGUGGCGAGUGGCGAACGGGUGAGUAAUAUAUCCGAACGUGCCCAGUCGCAGGGGAUAACGCAGCGAAAGCUGUGCUAAUACCGCAUACGCUCUCUGGAUGAAAGCGGGGGAUCGCAAGACCUCGCGCGAUUGGAGCGGCCGACAUCAGAUUAGCUAGUUGGGGAGCGAAAGGCCCACCAAGGCGACGAUCUGUAGCUGGGCUGAGAGGACGCGCAGCCAAAAUGGAGCUGAGACACGGUCCAGACUCCGACGGGAGGCAGGAGUGGGUAAUCUUGGAUAAUGGGCGAAAGCCUGAUCCAGCAAGGCCGCGUGCAGGAUGAAGGCCUUCGGGUUGUAAACUGCUUUUGUACGGAUCGAAACGGUGAGCUCUAACACAGUUUGCUAAUGACGGUACCGUAAGAAUAAGCACCGGCUAACUACGUGCCAGCAGCCGCGGUAA